UCCGGUGAUAGUAGCGCAAGGGUCAUACCUCUUCCCAUUCCGAACAGAGAAGUCAAGCCUUGUAGCGCCGAUGGUACUUGGUGGGCAACUGCCUGGGAGAGUAGGUCGUCGCCGGGA
rnacentral:rRNA from 1 species